rnacentral:rRNA from 1 species
CCUACGGGAGGCAGCAGUGAGGAAUAUUGGUCAAUGGACGAGAGUCUGAACCAGCCAAGUAGCGUGAAGGAUGACUGCCCUAUGGGUUGUAAACUUCUUUUAUAAAGGAAUAAAACGAGGCACGUGUGCCUUUUUGCAUGUACUUUAUGACUAAGGAUCGGCUAACUCCGUGCCAGCAGCCGCGGUAAUACGUAGGAUCCGAUCGUUGUCCGGAUUUAUUGGGUUUAAAGGGUGCGCAGGCGGAGUUGAAAGUCAGUGGUAAAAUUGAGGGGCUCAACCCCGAAAUGCCGUUGAAACUGCAUCCCUUGAGUGCGCGAGAAGUAUGCGGAAUGCGUGGUGUAGCGGUGAAAUGCUUAGAUAUCACGCAGAACUCCGAUUGCGAAGGCAGCAUACCGGCGCGCAACUGACGCUCAUGCACGAAAGCGUGGGUAUCGAACAGGAUUAGAUACCCGAGUAGUC